rnacentral:rRNA from 1 species
GAUGAACGCUGGCGGCGUGCUUAACACAUGCAAGUCGAACGAUGAGGCCCAGCUUGCUGGGUGGAUUAGUGGCGAACGGGUGAGUAACACGUGAGUAACCUGCCCUUGACUCUGGGAUAAGCCUGGGAAACUGGGUCUAAUACUGGAUAUGACUUCUCAUCGCAUGGUGGGGGGUGGAAAGAUUUAUUGGUCUUGGAUGGACUCGCGGCCUAUCAGCUUGUUGGUGAGGUAAUGGCUCACCAAGGCGACGACGGGUAGCCGGCCUGAGAGGGUGACCGGCCACACUGGGACUGAGACACGGCCCAGACUCCUACGGGAGGCAGCAGUGGGGAAUAUUGCACAAUGGGCGCAAGCCUGAUGCAGCGACGCCGCGUGAGGGAUGACGGCCUUCGGGUUGUAAACCUCUUUCAGUAGGGAAGAAGCGAGAGUGACGGUACCUUCAGAAGAAGCGCCGGCUAACUACGUG